rnacentral:rRNA from 1 species
GAUGAACGCUGGCGGCGUGCCUAAUACAUGCAAGUCGAGCGAAGCGAGGACGGGUGAGGACCACGUGGAUAACCUCCGAAAAGACUGGGAUAACGUCGGGAAACCGGAGCUAAACCGGAUAAUUAGAGGUGGAUGCGCGCUGCAUUAGCUAGUUGGUAAGGAAACGGCUUACCAAGGCAACGAUGCAUAGCCGACCUGUGAGGGUGAUCGGCCACACUGGAACUGAGACACGGCCCAGACUCCUACGGGAGGCAGCAGUAGGGAAUCUUCCGCAAUGGGCGAAAGCCUGACGGAGCAACGCCGCGUGAGUGAUGAAGGUUUUCGGAUCGUAAAACUCUGUUGUUAGGGAAGCGGUACCUAAUCAGAAAGCCACGGCUAACUACGUGCCAGCAGCCGCGGUAAUUC